GUCAGUUGCAUUUCAAACAUUGUGGUGGUCGGAUGUACUCGCUCCAACACAGUGACACUCCAUGUACAAGUUAUUCUGGCCCUGGUCACACCGACCCAUAGUUCUUCCGCCCUUGGUGAUUCCGGCCUGCCUUGUAAAUAACUCUGACUCCCCAAGGUAGACUGAAUCUACUGCAAGGCAUCAUGGACCGGUUUCAUACAUAUGCAUCUCUGGUUGGCUGGCAUAAGCAUGAUCCUGUGAGCUAGUGUUACUCCUGGCAACUACUUUUGACUAGUUCUUCCUGUGAAACAGCUGUCUUUCAAAGAUGCCGAGGUCAUGCUGUGUGCCAGGAUGCAAGUCCAACUAUAAAUCUGCAGAUGCCUCUGCGUUCAGUUUCCCUAAAGAUGAACAGCGACGGCAGCAGUGGAUGAGGGCUAUCCACAGGAAAGACUUUACUCCAACAGAAAAUACAAUUGUUUGUUCCAAGCACUUCCAAAAACGUUUCAUCAUUACAGAAGACAGUAUGACACGCGCUGAUGGAACUGUAGUAACAGCAAAGAGAGGCAGGCCAUCUCUACAUAAAGAUGCUUGUCCAACCAUCU